AACAGUAAUACACAUAGUGUAUCUGUGAGCUUUUCUUGUAGUUGUAUUUCCAGAGGUUGCCUCCUUGAAACUUGGUUCCAAGAAGGAUAAAAAGAUAGAAACUAUAAAGUGAAUGUUAAGAGAUUUGCAGGAUUGGCAUAGAGCUUUCUACAUCGGUGUAUCAGUCAGGGUCCCUGCAGGCAAGAGAGAACGAACACAUUAAGCUGGAAUUACAAUAUUAACAAAAAACAAUUAAGUAUCUAGGAAUUACCUAGUGAAGAACACAUAGGACUUUUAAAGAGAAAAGUUUUAAACUUUUUUAAGGGGCACAAAAAGAUCAGAAUAAAUAAAGUUCAUGGAUGUCAUUACU
rnacentral:lncRNA from 10 species